rnacentral:rRNA from 1 species
AAUAUUGCACAAUGGAGGAAACUCUGAUGCAGCGACGCCGCGUGAACGACGAAGGCCUUCGGGUCGUAAAGUUCUGUCCUAGGGGACGAUAAUGACGGUACCCUAGGAGGAAGCCCCGGCUAACUACGUGCCAGCAGCCGCGGUAAUACGUAGGGGGCUAGCGUUGUCCGGAUUUACUGGGCGUAAAGGGUGAGUAGGCGGUAACGUGUGUCAGAUGUUUAAUCUAUGGGCUCAACCCAUAUCAGCAUUUGAAACUACGUAACUUGAGUGCAGGAGAGGUAAGUGGAAUUCCUAGUGUAGCGGUGGAAUGCGUAGAUAUUAGGAGGAACACCAGUGGCGAAGGCGACUUACUGGACUGCAACUGACGCUGAGUCACGAAAGCGUGGGGAGCAAACAGG